AUGCCAGGCACCAUUAAUUAAGUAACCCACAUCCCUCUGGGCCUCAGUUUCCUCACCUGUCAGAUAGUUUAGCAGUUUGGACUGGAUGAAGAUGAAGGUCUCUCUAGCUUGACAUCCUGAGUUCACGAAGGGUUCCUCUCAGCACCAUGGAGAAUCACAGCUGUAGGUGGGGGGUGGGGAGUAGGGAGUGUGGUGACAGGGAGGAAAGGGGCGUGACAGCACCCCUCAGGGAACUUGAGAAACCUCUGGAUUCUCCCUUUGCAGAGAGUAUAAGAGAAGCAGGGAAGGUGAGCCACCAGGAAAGUGUGCAUCAAAACCACACUGGAGCCAGGCAAGGUGGUUCCCACCUGUUAUCCCAAAGCGCUGGGAUUAGAGCUGUGAGCCACUGAGCCUGGCCUAAAAAUUUUUUUUAAACAUUUUUUUCAAAUAAAAAAAUUCGCUGGG
rnacentral:lncRNA from 1 species